rnacentral:misc_RNA from 1 species
UCUCCGUUGGUGAACCAGCGGAGGGAUCAUUACAGGACUCGCAAGACUCCUCCAACCCUGUGAACUUAACUAUAUGCACUUUGCUUCGGCGGGUGUCACGGAGGGGGUUCUCCUUCCCCGAGACGCUAAACCCGCCGGCAGCCUACUAUACUCUGUCUCUUUGCGUUGGCAUCUCGAGUACAAUCAAACAAGUUAAAACUUUCAACAACGGAUCUCUUGGUUCUG